AUGUCGAACUCUUGUGAUCCCAUGGACUGUCGCCUGCCAGGCUCCUCUGUCCAUGGAAUUCUCCAGGCAAGAAUACUGGGGUGGGUAGCCAUUCUCUUCCCCAGGGGAUCUUCCCGACUCGGGAAGGGGAUCCAACCCGGGCCUCCUGCACUGCAGGCAGAUUCUUCAUUGUUUGAGCCACCAGUUGAAGCCCAUACAACUUCUGAUUACAUCUCAACAUCAAACUCUUCCUGUAACCUCCCCCCCCAACCCCAAACAUUCCAGUGCUCCCUACAAGCCUCCACUCGUCUCUAUAAGAAUCCUGUAACAACCGCACAAACAACCCUAUUCUCGUUCCUGUUCUUUUUACAUAUGAAUUCGCUAAAACACUCCCCCCUCCCCCCCUUAGCAUCUCAUAACGCCCCCAAUUUCACACCCGAUUCCCCAUCACACUCUCCGUUCCUCCGAGCAUCUCAGUUAGUUCCUCGGGCUGUUAUUUUAUUUUCUCCCAUGACAACCCUUAAAUCCCUUCAUCUCACCCCGAUCCUCGUCUGCCCCAGGGUUGCCAUGGCAACGCCGGUCUCUGAUCUCUCUCUCUCUCUCUCUCUCUCUCUCUCUCUCUCUAUCCGCAGUGCCCCGCAGCAACCCUCCGCGCACCUAGCCAGGCUCAUCACUAUGGAAACCGGAGCAGUCUCUCCACCCACCUCAUGGACAAACUGCUACACAGGAUGUUCCCUCUGCAGAGAGUGCACUUCCCCAUUCUUACCCUGCCAAAUGCAUCCUUCAAGAUCCAGUUCUCUGAAGAAACUUCUGCUCUGUCCCGUUUUGCUGGCCAUAAACCUCUUCUUCCUCUGCACUCGCAUCCGAUCCAUUUGUCACAAGAAAGCUGCCAGGGGUAAUUUUAUUUCUGGACAUCCAAUCGAGCCAUGGGUAUGUGUAUCAUUCACUCAGUUGUGUCUGAUUCUUUGCAACCCCAUGGACUGUAGCCUGCCAGGCUCCUCUGUCCAUGGAAUUCUCCAGGCAAGAAUACUGGAGUGGAUUGCCAUUCCCUUCUUCAAGGGGAUCUUCCCAACCCAGGGAUCGAACCUGAUCUUCUACAUUGCAGGCAGAUUCUUUACUGUCUGAACCACCAGGGGAGCCCCAUCAAGCCAUGCCCUUGUGUGAAAAAAAAUUUUUUUUUGGUAAGAUUUCACCCCAUCUCUUUUUAAAAAAUUAAUUUAUUUUGCGGCAUCAGGUCUUAGCUGCUGCACAAGGGAUCUUCCUUGUGUCACGUGGGAUCUUUCACUGCAGAGCACCAACUCUCUAGUUGUGCUGUCUGGGUUUAGUAGUUGUGGCCUCUGGGCUUAGCUUCUCCUUAGCAUGUGGGAUCUUAGUUCCCCUGAACAGGGAUGGAACCCACAUCCCUGCAUUGCAAAGCAGAUUCUUAAUAACUGGACUGCCAGGGAGCAUCCCCCCAACAUGAAGAACUGAAUGGCUUCCCACUGCUCCCAGAAUAAAGACUCAUCUUCUCCUGUUCCUCCUGUAUGUUUAAGGUCCUGAUGUCACUAUCCACAUCUCUCCCUUUCUCAUACCCUGACCCUCUUCUGCUAGCCCUUUUUCAGUUUACAGUACAGCUGAGCUCUUUCCCUCCUAGGAUUCUCCCUAACCCAUGUCCAAGAAUCUAAGUAUAAGACAGUUAAGUGGGGAGGCUUGGGACAUUGAUGUGCACUGGACUGUGGUGGGGUUUGCCUGCUCAGAAUUCCUCCUGCCUCCUUUCUUGAACCACCCUCCAUCUUUGGAACUUCCCAGGUGGUCCAGUGGCUAAGACUCCAUGCUCCCAAUGCAAGGGGCCUGGGUUCAAUCCCUGGUCAGGGAACUAGAUCCCACAUGCUGCAUGAAGACCCAGUAUAGCCAAAUAAAUAAUAAAUAUAAAAACGCCUCAAACUCCUCACUCUUUGUGAUCCUGUACAUUCUGUCUGCCCCAUUAUCCUAUUACAGGAGUAGGCAUAUGUCCAGGCUGACUGAUCAGAGCAGUGAUUCUCUAAGCAUGGUCUUUAAACCAGGUGCAUCAGCAUCAUUAGACAUGUAAAUUCUCAGGCCCUGCCUCAGACCUACUCAAUCAGAAAUUCAGGGUGAUGUCUACGUCUUAACAAGAUCUCUGGGUAAUCAAUUUCCUGAGGCUUGCUCAAGUUUGAGCAACACAUAAACAAGACACAAUGAAAGACAAAACCCAUCGAUGCCAAUAGUUAAAUAGCUUUGAAGUGUCAUGGUUGUUCAGUUCAGUCGCUCAGUCGUGUCCGAUUCUUUGCGACCCCAUGAAUCGCAGCACACCAGGCCUCCCUGUCCAUCACCAACUCCCAGAGUUCACUCAGACUCACGGCCAUCAAGUCUGCGAUGCCAUCCAGCCAUCUCAUCCUCAGUCGUUCCCUUCUCGUCCUGCCCCCAAUCCCUCCCAGCAUCAGGGUCUUUUUCAAUGAGUCAACACUUCGCUUGAGGUGGCCAAAGUACUGGAGCUUCAGCUUUAGCAUCAUUCCUUCCAAAGAAAUCCCAGGGCUGAUCUCCUUCAGAAUGGACUGGUUGGAUCUCCUGGCAGUCCAAGGGACUCUCAAGA
rnacentral:lncRNA from 1 species